CCUUUGCUGAUCCCGAGAUGUGGCAGUUGAUCAGGGAAGAGAAAGAGAGAAAAAAGGAGACCUAGAGUUAAUUGCAUCUGAGAUUCUGUGUAUCUCCAUCUCUUCAAGGUGAACCACAUAAUCAUGCAAUCGCUGGUGUAGCUGUCGCUUUGAAAGAGGCCACAUCAAAUGAAUUCCGAGCUUAUUGUGAACAAGUCUUGAAAAACGCCAAAGCUUUUGCCGAUGCGUUAGUGGCCAAGGGAUAUUCAUUGGUCUCUGGUGGAACCGAUAAUCAUCUUUUACUAUUGAAUUUACGAGAUAAAGGACUUGACGGUGCAAGAUUAGAGGCUCUUCUCAAUCACUGUGACAUAAUUGGUAAUAAAAACACUUGUCCUGGCGACGAAUCUGCUCUAUUCCCUGGUGGAAUCCGACUUGGUGCUCCCGCUUUGACUACUCGAAACUUUGUGGAAUCAGAUUUUACCAAAGUGGCCGAUUUUAUCGAUAAAGGUGUUCAGUUGUCUCUCAAAGUUAAAGUUUUCUGUGAUUAGUUCAUUUGCAUUGAUUUUCAACUAAAUUUCUCCGUCAAAGUUUCUAAUUUUUAAUCAAAACUUUAAUUUCUUCAUUUUUAAAUAGGUAAAACUGUCAAUGAUUUCAAGAAAUUCAUCAUCACCGACGAGGAAACAAUUAAGAAUAUCGCUGACAUUAGAAGACGUGUAAACGAGUGGGCAAGCACAUUCCCAAUGCCUGGUUACGAUGAUCAUUAAUUGUUCACAAUUAACCUAUCAAAUAAGAGGCAUCAUAACAAUCAUCAUCUAAAGGGAUCGGAAAAAUUUACAGAAUUGAGGUUAACCAGAGAAAGUUUUUCACUAAUUAGUGCCAUUUAACUAACUAAUAUUUUAUUGAGCUUAUCACCAGUCAUCCAAAAAUAUUAACAAUUAAACGAUGACAAAUUAUCAACUUCAAAUUGAUAAUAAUUUUGUUGAUUGUUAAAAAAAACCCUGAUUAGUUUGAUGCAAAAACAUUCAAGUAUUUUGACACUUUUCAUACAAACAAUUAAAAAAAAUGAUUCAGUUAA